CUACCAUCUAUACCCUCUCUACCACCAGUCCUACCUGACAGACGGUUUAUUCCCACUUUCCUCCCUCCAUCCCCGUACUCUUCGGGUGGACGGUAUCCUAACCUUGCUUCUGGACGGUCUGCUUUCUCAAUCAAUCCGGUUUCUUCUUCCGCUCGGUACUCAUCUACCCUACCCCUCGCAGGAGCUCGGCCGUCUGUACCACCAAGAAAUCAAAGGAAAGAUGAAUUUUUGCCAUCUUGUCCACGAGAAAGCUAGAACAGACUUGUUUUGUUGGUACCAGCUAGAUAGAAAGAAAGGACAGACUCGCUAACGCUCACACAUCGUUAAGGUUUUGCUCUUUUACGCCCACCAGAGUCAUGUUUU
rnacentral:misc_RNA from 1 species